GGUCACUGGUGGUUGCUUAACAUAUCUUAUCGUUAUUGAUUCAUGUCCCGCUGUUUAUGAAUACUGACCCUAAUCCUUACCCUGACUUAGACAAAACCGAAGGGUAAAUUACUCUGAAAAAAGCGUACGAAGAUUUUUGGCAUUAGAAAAUCCCAGCAAUUUUUCUGGGAUUCUGGGAUUUUUUUCAGCUGAUUUUUUCGAAAUAUUUUUCCUUAUUUUUUUUCGCCGAACUUUUUCCGACAUUUUUUGCGACAUAUAAUCCGUCGAAUUAUUUUUAAAACGAAGUAAAUCAACAAAGGGCAUUUUCACGCCAAUUCACGAUUUAAAUGUUUAAAUUUGAUGGGAUUUCUCAAUAUUGCAAUAAUUUUGAGGAUUUUAUUGGGCUUUUUCCAAGUAUUUUAUGCAAUUUUUAGAGAUUUCUUGGGAUUUUGGGAUUCUGGGAUUUAGUAAGAUUUUGGGGUUUUUCCAAUGAUUUUUUUUUUAUUUUUGAUGAAGUGUACGAAGAUUUUCAGAGUAAUUUACCCCUCGGACAAAACAGCAAGACAUGAAGCUCUAUCCUGUCUUUGUUUUUCUGCCUCAGAACGAAUAGACUUGCUCCAAGUCUCUCUUUCAUUGUCAUGUAGUAUCGAUCCACUAUAGUGUACAUUACAUGACGUAGCACGGAGAGGCGGAGCGUGAAAGAGACUUGUGACUUGUCAACUUCGGAAAAUCUCGGUUCAAAACUGAACCGAAAAUGCAAGACUUGCUGUAAUUGUUUUCUGUCGGUGUUUAUAUUUAUUGAUCUAGCACAGUGUAAAUAACAUGAGUUCCAUUAUAGUAAAUAAUACAGAAAGAAAUUGAAGGAAAACAAUUAAAGCAAGUCUUGCAUUUUCAGUUAAGUUUUGAACCGAGAUUUUACGAAGUUGACAAGUCUCUCUUUCUCGCUCCGCCUCCCUCCGUACUACGUCAAGUAAUGUACACUAUAGUGGAUCAAUACUAUAUGACAAUGAAAGAGAGACUUGGAGCAAGUCUACAGAACGAAGUUUACGAAAAAUUUUGCCAAAAUAUUCGUUCUGAACGAAGGCAGAAGAACGAAGACGGGCUAUGGAUUCAUCACUCGUGUCUCUCUGUUCUGUCUGUGGCAGGGUUAAGCCUGGUUUCCAUAUGGUCGUAACGGUCGUCAAGAUUGAGUCACGAUCUUUCUCAACAGCUGAAAUACAACUUUUAGCACUGAAAAUACGCGGAGUGAUUAUAACUAGAGAAUACUUAUGAUUUAUAUUUACAGGUAUAAACUAUUAUAAACUGGCCGUUGAAAAAGAUCGUGACUCUAUUUUUACGACCAUUAUAUACAUCCAUAUGGAAACCAUGUUUAAGGAUUAUAGUCAGCAUUCAUAAACAGCGAGACAUGAAUCUAUAACUUGCCUUCGUUAAACAAUCAUUGCUGACCCUAAACUCAGUAUGCGCGAGAUAAUGCACAGAACGGGCAACAAUGGACCUAUUGUCUAAUAAACAAAAUUUUGAUCUAGACAAGUCUAGACAAAUAUUUUAUCACAGCUUGAAAGAGCAUCACAAAAUUCGUAAUAUUCCGAAGUUUCGUUGCGAAAUGUUGUAAAAUGCAGAUAAUAUAGCCCUGCGAAGUUUGCCGUUUUUCAGUCAUUUUGUAUUUAAUACGCGCGGGAAAUUGUACCCUUUUUCAGAAAGCGGUACCAAUUUCCCGUGCGUAAUACAGAAUACGUGCUCCCUUGCUCAUACUUUCUGUUAUCCAUCGUGGUUGCACGUUCAUCUCAGCCAUGCUAUAUUUAACGAUUACUUCAGCUAGUAAUACGAAAACACAAUGAGCUCAAUUACCGUGACCAUGCACAAAUUCAGGGUGCGAUAAUUCGCGUACUUACGUAUUCCGGAGGUACGCCAAUAUUACAGUCUGCUACUUCUUUGUUUUCAGCCAAGUACCACGUAGGUGCGCGGAACUCUUGCUAUCUGCGUAAUUACAUGUUGCUGGCACCAUGCAGAUGUCCUUCUCAAGCCAAAUAUAUUCAAUAUCGUAGUUUAGUAGGUAUAACAUGUGUCAAGCUUUCGUUGGUAGGGUUGCAAUGGACCAAUCCCUAAUUAACCAAAAUUUUGAACUCAACCAUUCCAGACAAAAAUUUCAUCACAGCUUGAAAGAGCAUCACAAAAUUAGUAAUAUUCCAAAGUUUCGUUGCAAAAUGUUGUAAAAUGCGGAUAAUAUAGCCUUGCG
rnacentral:lncRNA from 1 species